rnacentral:rRNA from 1 species
AACUUCGGUUCUCUGGCUGGCGACCGGCGGACGGGUGCGUAACACGUAGCUACUUGCCCCACAGUGGGGGAUAACCCGGGGAAACCCGGGCUAAUACCGCAUACACCCGAGAGGGGAAAGCCGUAAGGCGCUGUGGGAUAGGGCUGCGGCGUAUCAGGUAGUUGGUGGGGUAACGGCCUACCAAGCCGAUGACGCGUAGCUGGUCUGAGAGGAUGAUCAGCCACACUGGAACUGAGACACGGUCCAGACUCCUACGGGAGGCAGCAGUGGGGAAUCUUGGGCAAUGGGGGAAACCCUGACCCAGCAACGCCGCGUGGAGGAAGACGCCCUUCGGGGUGUAAACUCCUUUUGCAGGGGAAGAGAGAGACGGUACCCUGCGAAUAAGCUCCGGCUAACUCCGUGCCAGCAGCCGCGGUAAUACGGGGGGAGCGAGCGUUACUCGGAAUCACUGGGCGUAAAGGGUGCGUAGGCGGCUUAGUAAGUUGGGAGUGAAAUCCCACGGCUCAACCGUGGAACUGCUUCCAAAACUGCCAAGCUAGAGUCCGGGAGAGGCCGAGGGAAUUCCUGGUGUAGGGGUGAAAUCCGUAGAGAUCAGGAGGAAUGCCGAAAGCG